CCCUUAGAUGUUCUGGGCCGCACGCGUGCUACACUGAGUGGAUCAGCGGGUCAGGUUGCGCGAAAGUGUUUCCUAAUCUUUAAAUCCGCUCGUGAUGGGGAUUGACGGUUGCAAUUUUCCGUCAUGAACGAGGAAUACCUUGUAAGCGCGGGUCAUCAUCCCGCGCUGAAUACGUCCCUGCCCUUUGUACACACCGCCCGUCGCUCCUACCGAUUGAACGUGCUGGUGAAGCGUUAGGACUGGCUCUCGGGGCAGGUCUCCUGCCCCUUGAAUCGGGAAUUUCGUUGAACCCUCCCGUUUAGAGGAAGGAGAAGUCGUAACA
rnacentral:rRNA from 1 species